GAUGAAGAACGUAGCGAAAUGCGAUAAGUAGUGUGAAUUGCAGAAUUCAGUGAAUCAUCGAAUCUUUGAACGCACAUUGCGCCCGCUGGUAUUCCGGCGGGCAUGCCUGUUCGAGCGUCAUUUCAACCCUCAAGCCCCCGGGUUUGGUGUUGGGGAUCGGCUCUGCCCUUCUGGGCGGUGCCGCCCCCGAGAUACAUUGGCGGUCUCGCUGCAGCCUCCAUUGCGUAGUAGCUAACACCUCGCAACUGGAACGCGGCGCGGCCAUGCCGUAAAACCCCAACUUCUGAAUGUUGACCUCGGAUCAGGUAGGAAUACCCGCUGAACUUAAGCAUAUCAAUAAGCGGAGGA
rnacentral:misc_RNA from 1 species